UGACGAGUGGCGCACGGGUGCGUAACGCGUAUACAAUCUACCUUUUACAGUGGGAUAGCCUUUAGAAAUGAAGAUUAAUACCGCAUAGUAUGUUUAAAUGGCAUCAUUUAGAUAUUAAAGAUUUAUCGGUAAAAGAUGAGUAUGCGUUCUAUUAGCUAGAUGGUAAGGUAACGGCUUACCAUGGCAACGAUAGAUAGGGGCCCUGAGAGGGGGAUCCCCCACACUGGUACUGAGACACGGACCAGACUCCUACGGGAGGCAGCAGUGAGGAAUAUUGGACAAUGGGCGCAAGCCUGAUCCAGCCAUGCCGCGUGCAGGAAGACUGCCCUAUGGGUUGUAAACUGCUUUUAUACAGGAAGAAACACCCCCUCGUGAGGGGGCUUGACGGUACUGUAAGAAUAAGGAUCGGCUAACUCCGUGCCAGCAGCCGCGGUAAUACGGAGGAUCCAAGCGUUAUCCGGAAUCAUUGGGUUUAAAGGGUCCGUAGGUGGAUAAUUAAGUCAGAGGUGAAAGUCUGCAGCUCAACUGUAGAAUUGCCUUUGAUACUGGUUAUCUUGAGUCAUUAUGAAGUGGUUAGAAUAUGUAGUGUAGCGGUGAAAUGCAUAUAUAUUACAUAGAAUACCAAUUGCGAAGGCAGAUCACUAAUAAUG
rnacentral:rRNA from 1 species